rnacentral:rRNA from 1 species
GGGCCCGCACAAGCGGUGGAGCAUGUGGUUUAAUUCGAAGCAACGCGAAGAACCUUACCAAGUCUUGACAUCCCGAUGACCGCCAUCUAACUUUGGCUUUUCUUCGGAACAUCGGUGACAGGUGGUGCAUGGUUGUCGUCAGCUCGUGUCGUGAGAUGUUGGGUUAAGUCCCGCAACGAGCGCAACCCUUAUUUUUAGUAGCCAGCACGUAAUGGUGGGGACUCUAGAGAGACUGCCGGGGACAACUCGGAGGAAGGUGGGGAUGACGUCAAAUCAUCAUGCCCCUUAUGAUUUGGGCUACACACGUGCUACAAUGGUGAUUACAAAGGGAGGCGAAGCCGUGAGGUGGAGCAAACCCAAAAAAGUCAUCCCAGUUCGGAUUGUAGUCUGCAACUCGACUACAUGAAGUUGGAAUCGCUAGUAA